GACGAACGCUGGCGGCGUGCUUAACACAUGCAAGUCGAACGGGCCUGUCUUCUUUUUUGGGGGUGGGUUGAGUGGCGAACGGGUGAGUAUCACGUGAGUAACCUGCCCUUCGGUCCUGGAUAACCGCUUGAAAGGGCGGCUAAUACGGGGUGGUCCGGUUGGUCCGCAUGGGCUGGUCGGGAUAGAUUCACUGUUUUUGGUGUUUCGGCGGGGGAUGGGCUCGCGGCCUAUCAGCUUGUUGGUGGGGUGAUGGCCUACCAAGGCGGUGACGGGUAGCCGGGCGGAGGGGGUGGGCGGCCACACUGGGACUGAGAUACGGCCCAGACUCCUGCGGGAGGCAGCAGUGGGGGGUAUUGCACAAUGGGCGGAAGCCUGAUGCAGCGACGUCGCGUGAGGGAGGGAGGCCUUCGGGUUGUGAACCUCUGUUUCCGGUGGUGAAGGCCCUGUCCGUGUGGUGGGGUUGACGGUAGCCGGGGAUGAAGCGCCGGCUAACUACGUG
rnacentral:rRNA from 1 species